AACAUUUCUAAAUGUAAAUUAUAUUUAGUAAGGCCUGCUCACUGCUUUAUUAUUAAAUAGCCGCGGUCACCCGUGCUAAGGUAGCAUAAUCAUUUGCCUCUUAAUUAGAGGCUAGAAUGAAAGACUCAACACGCCUAUUCUUUUAUUAUUUUGUUUCCUUAAACUUCUCUUGUAAGUAAAAAGCCUUACAUAAAAAGGGGGACGACAAGACCCUAUCGAACUUUACUAAAUGUUUAGCUGGGGCGGCUAAAAACCAAUUCUUUUUCCUUAUUUUCUACCCAACCUUUAAAAGAUUACUAAGUUACCGUAGGGAUAACAGCAUAAUUUAUUCUCAAAGACCUUAUUUAAGAAUAAGAUUGUGACCUCGAUGUUGAAUUAAUAUUCUUUUAGGGGCAAGAUUCUAAAAAGAAAGUCUGUUCGACUUUUAAAUAAUUACGUG
rnacentral:rRNA from 1 species